GUGGGAUUUUCUCUCAAUAGGUUGAGAGCAUCUCUCUCUAACUAACUUUUAUUGAGAGCUCUUUCUAGAUUCUACGGGUGGUGGUGCAUGGCCAUUCUUAGUUGGUAAAGUGAUUUGUCUGGUUAAUUCCAUUAACGAACGAGACCUCAGUCUGCUAACCAGCUAUGUCGAGGCAACCCUUCGUGGCUAGCUUCUUAGAGGGACUACGACCUUUUAGGCCAUGGAAGUUUGAGGCAAUAACAGGUCUGUGAUGCCCUUAGAUGUUCUGGGUCAUAGGCCCGC
rnacentral:rRNA from 1 species